GACGGAGGAUGCAAGUGUUAUCCGGAAUCACUGGGCGUAAAGCGUCUGUAGGUGGUUUAAUAAGUCAACUGUUAAAUCUUGAGGCUCAACCUCAAAAUCGCAGUCGAAACUAUUAGGCUAGAGUAUAGUAGGGGUAAAGGGGAAUUUCCAGUGGAGCGGUGGAAAUGACGUAGAGAUUGGAAAGAACACCGAUGGCGAAGGCACUUUACUGGGCUAUUACUAACACUCAGAGACGAAAGCUAGGGUAGCAAAUGGG
rnacentral:rRNA from 1 species